rnacentral:rRNA from 1 species
AACGAACGCUGGCGGCAUGCCUAACACAUGCAAGUCGAACGAGAUCUUCGGAUCUAGUGGCGCACGGGUUCGUAACCCGUGGGAAUCUGCCCUUUGCUUCGGAAUAACAGUGAGAAAUUACUGCUAAUACCGGAUGAUGUCUUCUGACCAAAGAUUUAUCGGCAAAGGAUGAUCCCGCGUAGGAUUAGGUAGUUGGUUGGGUAAUGGCCUACCAAGCCGACGAUCCUUAGCUGGUCUGAGAGGAUGAUCAGCCACACUGGGACUGAGACACGGCCCAGACUCCUACGGGAGGCAGCAGUGGGGAAUAUUGGACAAUGGGGGAAACCCUGAUCCAGCAAUGACGCGUGAGUGAUGAAGGCCUUAGGGUUGUAAAGCUCUUUUACCAGGGAUGAUAAUGACAGUACCUGGAGAAUAAGCUCCGGCUAACUCCGUG